ACAAUGGAGAGUUUGAUCCUGGCUCAGGAUGAACGCUAGCUACAGGCUUAACACAUGCAAGUCGAGGGGAAACGAUAUUGGAAGCUUGCUUCCGAUAGGCGUCGACCGGCGCACGGGUGAGUAACGCGUAUCCAACCUGCCCACCACUUGGGGAUAACCUUGCGAAAGUAAGACUAAUACCCAAUGAUAUCUCAAGAAGACAUCUGAAAGGGAUUAAAGAUUUAUCGGUGAUGGAUGGGGAUGCGUCUGAUUAGCUUGUUGGCGGGGUAACGGCCCACCAAGGCGACGAUCAGUAGGGGUUCUGAGAGGAAGGUCCCCCACAUUGGAACUGAGACACG
rnacentral:rRNA from 1 species